GCUGGUUUUGGCUAUUGGGAUGGAAUCGGGUUUGUCGUAUUGGGUCAGAUUAGGUUUGGGUUAUAACCGGGUUUAGGAUUGUAUUUUGGGUUAGAUUUUAUUGGGCUAAUGUUUAGUUUGGGCAAUAUUGAGCCCAGUGUAAAUGGACAUUUAAAAUGGACUAUUUUUUUUUGGUUUAUAUUUUUUUAUUUAUUUAUUUCUGAUUUGGGCCUGGUAAAUUUGGGAAAUUACAAAAAUUACCGAUGGGAAAAUCAAUUUUCUCUCUAUCGAAGAAAUUGAAAGAAUUUCACAGUCGUAUAUUAACUUCAACCAAACUUUCAAUAAGAGAUAAAGUAAAGCAACAUUGAAGUUCGAGACAUCAGGCUACUUCUGUAGCGAGUGUGGGGAGUGUUCAUAAUAAUAAACUUGAAUGUCAAC
rnacentral:lncRNA from 1 species